CCUACGGGAGGCUGCAGUGGGGAAUAUUGGACAAUGGGCGAAAGCCUGAUCCAGCCAUGCCGCGUGUGUGAAGAAGGCCUUCGGGUUGUAAAGCACUUUCAGUGGGGAAGAAAGCCUUGGGGCUAAUACCCUCGAGGAAGGACAUCACCCACAGAAGAAGCACCGGCUAACUCCGUGCCAGCAGCCGCGGUAAUACGGAGGGUGCGAGCGUUAAUCGGAAUUACUGGGCGUAAAGCGCGCGUAGGCGGUCUGAUAAGCCUGUUGUGAAAGCCCCGGGCUCAACCUGGGAACGGCAUCCGGAACUGUCAGGCUAGAGUGCAGGAGAGGAAGGUAGAAUUCCCGGUGUAGCGGUGAAAUGCGUAGAGAUAGGGAGGAAUACCAGUGGCGAAGGCGGCCUUCUGGACUGACACUGACGCUGAGGUGCGAAAGCGUGGGUAGCAAACAGGAUUAGAUACCCGGGUAGUC
rnacentral:rRNA from 1 species